rnacentral:rRNA from 1 species
GAUGAACGCUGGCGGCGUGCCUAAUACAUGCAAGUCGAGCGAACUGAUUAGAAGCUUGCUUCUAUGACGUUAGCGGCGGACGGGUGAGUAACACGUGGGCAACCUGCCUGUAAGACUGGGAUAACUUCGGGAAACCGAAGCUAAUACCGGAUAGGAUCUUCUCCUUCAUGGGAGAUGAUUGAAAGAUGGUUUCGGCUAUCACUUACAGAUGGGCCCGCGGUGCAUUAGCUAGUUGGUGAGGUAACGGCUCACCAAGGCAACGAUGCAUAGCCGACCGGAGAGGGUGAUCGGCCACACUGGGACUGAGACACGGCCCAGACUCCUACGGGAGGCAGCAGUAGGGAAUCUUCCGCAAUGGACGAAAGUCUGACGGAGCAACGCCGCGUGAGUGGUGAAGGCUUUCGGGUCGUAAAACUCUGUUGUUAGGGAAGAACAAGUACGAGAGUAACUGCUCGUACCUUGACGGUACCUAACCAGAAAGCCACGGCUAACUACGUGCCAGCCGCCGCCGUAA